rnacentral:rRNA from 1 species
UGCGGCGUCUUACCAUGCAAGUCGAACGAUGCUUCUGGAUCUUGCUCCGGUGGAGUAGUGGCCAUGGGAAGAGUAACACGUGAGAAAUCUGCCCUUGACUCUGGGAUGACUGCGGGAAACUGUAGCUAAUACCGGAUACUUUCCCUGGUGGGCAUCCACUGGGGAGAAAGAAUUUCUGUCAAGGAUGAUCUCUCGGCCUAUCAGCUAGUUGGUGAGGUAACGGCUCAACGAUGCGACGACGUGUAACCGGCCUGAGAGGGUGACCGGCCACACUGGGACUGAGACACAAUUUUCACUCCUACGGGAGGCAGCGAUGGAGAAUAUUGCACAGUGGGAGCAAGGCUGAUGCACUGACGCCCCCUGAUGGAUGACGGCCUUCGGGUUGUAAACCUCUUUUAGCAGGGAAGAAUCAAAAGUGACCGUACCUGCAGAAAAAGCACCGGCUAGCUACGUGCCACCAACCUCGUGAAUACGUAGGGUGCAAGCGUUGUCCUGAAUUAUUGCUGUUAAAGAGCUCAUAUGAGGUUUGUCACGUCUGCUGUGAAUGUCCAAGGCUCAACCUUGGACUUGCAGUGGGUACGGGCAGUGCUAGAGUGCGGUGCGGGAGAUGGGAAUUCCUGGUGUAGUGGGUGGAAUGCUCUGAUAUCACGAGGAACACCAAUGGCGAACGGCACAUCUCUGGAGCCGUAACUGACGCUGAGGACCGAAAGCGUGGCCAGCGAACGAGGAUUAGAUACCCUGGGGAGUCCACGCCGUACUCGGUGGGUGCUAGCUGUGGGUCCACAUGUC